AUGCAAAGCCAGGCGCAAAGCCCUGCAAAGGUUAAACAUAAUCUGAGAUUCUAGACCACGCUAAGUUCUCCCUUUUGAUCAUUGAUAAAUUUGAUAUGAACUGUUUUUUCUGUUCUAAAAAGUUAAGAAUAUUUCUUCAUCUUGGUCAAGAAAGCCUGCACAGGAUUUGUUUUUUCAUAAUUGCAGCCCUCAACAAUGUUGCUGGACCAACAUUUGAUAUUGAAAUUUUGUUAUAAGAUUCGUAAGAUUCAUCCCUCGUAGCACCCUUUAAGCGUUUGUUGUUUGUGAACGUUGCGAAUCCCACAUCGGCUGAACCAAACAAGUAGGGAAGUGAACGGGCCUAUAAAAGAAGAAACAAGAGAUGAGAACAAGCAUACCUUUCUCGGCCUUUUGGCUAAGAUCAAGUGUAGUAUCUGUUCUUAUCAGUUUAAUAUCUGAUACGUGGGCCAAUGGCCCACACGAUAUUAAAUUAAUUUCUUUAGGGGGAGGGCCCACUACAGUAGCUUGCUACUGGGGUUCUCACGCGUCGCCCAAGCGUUGCACUAUUGCAUGGGCCUGGCGCACCCCACCAAAUCUAGUUUAAAAUUGGCAUUGUAAGUAUGUUAAGGUUAAAAGAAUUCAGAAAUAAAAUGCAAUCUAUUUUUCUGUGAAGUCAAAUACAAAUUACAGAGCAAAUUUUUACUGCUCGUUUCGGGACUUCAAAACAGACUUGAAAGACAAAUGUUCUCUCAAUCAAUCACAGUAAUUAGUAAGUGAGAUGAACUGUGAAUUGCAGCAGAGUCUCUGCACCAUCAGUUUGCCGAUUGGAAGCAGGGAAGGUCUUGACCAUGGCAAAACCUUUGGCAUUCACAUACUUGCCAGUGCCACCCAUGAUGGCCAAAUGAGACUCCGAUGCAGCCGUCCGAUGAACCCCAAAGAAGCUCAGGCUAUCGGCGUAGCUCCCGCUUUCGAACAUUGCCGUGAAGCCCAUAGUCUGGCUGGUACCAUCUUCAGAGCUCACCACAUAGAAACCUUGUGCCUUCCCAACCAAACCAGAGCUAAGCUCAUGCCCUUCAGUCAGCUCAUCGUCAAACACACUCAUGGUGCCAAACAUGAGAUUUUGGAGCACGGAGCCUGGCUGGAGCUGUCCACCGUUUAUCGGGAAAUUUCCGCCAUUGAUCCCGUUGUUUUGUGCCACAUUUGAUGUUGUUCCACUUAGCCCUGUGAGAAAAGGGAUGUUGUUGUUGUUUAUAAGACCAUUGUUGUUGUUGUUCUGGGGUACCCCGUUGUUGAAAGGUAGGACUGCCCCAUUGGGUUUGGCAAAUGGCAGUUGGCCAUUGGCUGCAGGGCUGUUGACUAUCCCGGUCAUGGCUCGAGCCGUGGGGUUCGAUCCUCCGAGGAUGUCGUGCAUAAAGAAGAUUAAGGUAUGUUGAUCAGCAACAUUAGCAUUGAUGAUAGGUGUCUCGUCUGUAUUGGAUGCCACUGGAGGGACUAUAGGAACUGGUAGCUGCUCCUCCUCGAGAGUUCGUGCUGAUGUGGCAGAGAAAAUGGUGAGUGUGAGAAAGAGUAGGUAGGCUGUGACACAGAAAAUUUUGUGAGCUUCCAUUUGAUUAAGAGAGGGGACUAAAAUAUGGGAGUUGAAAUAUUUUGUUCUUUCUGUUUUGGGUUAUGGAUUAAGGGUGUUGUGCUUGUGUGGAUGUAUGUAUAGAUUGAGAUUUUGAAAGGAGUUGGUCAGAUGGAGUUGGU
rnacentral:lncRNA from 1 species